CGCUGCCCAGCGCAGCUCUGCAGCACAUUGGAUUCCUCCCAGCAUCUCACCUUCCUCCUCCGUAGGUUUAAGAGAAAAGCCCAGCGCUGGUUUGUUCACAUGCUCACAUCCCUGCAAAGAAAUAAAUAGGCAGAGCCGUGCCGUGAUGCAGUGGCACGAAAAACAGGAAAACAAAACAAAGCCAAAUGAAGAUGCCUCCUCCUGCUGAGCUCCCCAGGGCCAUCCCUGGAACACGGUGUGCCAACAGCCAGGGCUGGGAUCUGCUUGCAGCAGGGAUCUGCUCCACCCCAUCACACGGUGCCAAACACCCGCAUAUGUUUUGCUGGACUCCGAGUUGUACCUCGGUGCUAUAACCACAGUUCUAAUGAAGGUGCUUCUGAAGCAGAAUUACCCAAGCAGCUGUUCUUGUGUGAGGUCUGGACACGGGAAAAAUUGCCUUUGAGGAGCCAAAUCCCUGCAGCCGGGCUGGGUGCUGUGAGUAACCCAACCACAUCAGGGGACCCCUGAAACACACCGGUGAGCACGGGGACAACGCCACUAAGAAGGACCCGCUGUGACCCAGCGCUGCUGGUCGUUCUGAAUGGCAGAGGUGCUCCAGCACCUGCAGCCCUCUGCGGGGCCGUCCCGAAGGCGUGCACUGAGGUCCUGCUCAGCAGUGGGAUGCAGAGGAGCAGCCUCAACCUGUGCCCGGGAUUUCUGGCACGCGGGAAGAGGGUCAGGCCCCACGCUGCAGCCACCUGCAUCACGAGCUCACGGGCACAGUGAUGGCUGCCCUUCAUCCCAUGUGCUCAGCCCCGCGCCUCCGCGGGCAGCGGGAGGAAAGGGUUAAGGAGCUGCCAGCGGGGAUGAGGCGAGGGAAUUCAGCUGCUGACGCAGCUCAGGCAGUAAAAAGACUCAGAACGAGGACUGCUCAAACGGGUGGCAUGGGAAGAAACGGGCGGCCGAGACGUGGUGCUGUCAGGGAUGUUCUCCUGCAUGGCGUGGGAUGGCUGAGCACGGCACAGCGUGGCACAGCACGGCACGGCAUGGCAUUGCCAUCGCAUGGGGUGGCAGAGGGGUGGCCCGCCGGCAGCAGCCAGCUUGCACACGGCUCUGCUGAGCCACCGCUGUCAGAGAACAGAGGCUGCUGUGGCAUUGGAACAUUGGCUCUGGAGCUCCUGAGAGCGGCCUGAGCAUGGGUUGCUCCCACCUUGCUGCCCCCAGAGCCGGUUACCAAGCCAGGCCCUAUGGAAUACAAUAGAAUAAUCGAUGGUCCAUUGUUGCUGGGCUUAAUUUAGCCAUUCAGGCGGGGAAGGAACAAUGUGAGCGUACGUAAGCAGGAGAAAAAGCAGCAGAUGAAUCAGCCCCGAGCCCUCUGUGUGCAGGGGCUGAGCGAGGCAGGCAGACGGACGCAUCUGCAGCAGUGCAGGUAAUGGGGAUGUACUUCGCUUUGUGCAAUGCCAGGUCUAAAAUGGCUGCAGCUGUGCUUGGUGUUAAGCAGCGGCACGGCCACGAAUCCCUCUCAAGCUGACCCAGCAGCCCGGAUGGAGCUCUGGGGGGACACAGCCUGGGAGGGGCAGCCCCACAGCCACGCCACGAGCGGGGCACCGUCCCAGGACACCCCCAGCAUGCGCUCAGCCCGACCCGAAAGGUCCCAUAAAUGGCACCGUGGAGUGCCCCAGCACCCAUCCGCCCCACAGCCCAGCUCAGAGCCCACGUCCCUCCCACUGCCCUGCUGCUCACCGUGCCCACCCCGCGCCGGGGAUCGCUGUUUGCCUUUGCAUUCCUGUGGGUUGGCUCACACCGCGCCCCGGGCAGCGGCGGGCGGCACAUUCGGGCUUUCCU
ensembl:lncRNA